CGUAAUUAACAGGUUAACUUGGCCUCUAAGUUUACGAACAUACUUCUAAUGGCUUGUGAGAGAAAACCAUGUUUGGACGAUGAAUCCUAGCUGUUUGACUAGAGCGUGAUUAACUGCACUAGAUGCCUCAUUUACGAGCCACUAUGUUAAUAGAGGAUCGUUCCCGUCUUGCUCUGUCAAGUCGGGGUGGUAUUGCAGUUGUUUGACAAAC